rnacentral:rRNA from 1 species
CCUACGGGGUGCAGCAGUGGGGAAUAUUGCACAAUGGGGGGAACCCUGAUGCAGCGACACCGCGUGGGUGAAGGAGUAUUUCGGUAUGUAAAGCCCUAUCAGCAGGGAAGAACAAUGACGGUACCUGACUAAGAAGCACCGGCUAAAUACGUGCCAGCAGCCGCGGUAAUACGUAUGGUGCAAGCGUUGUCCGGAUUUAUUGGGUUUAAAGGGUGCGUAGGCGGAAUGCCAAGUCAGCGGUAAAAUCGCGGGGCUCAACCUCGCUCCGCCGUUGAAACUGGCGUUCUUGAGUGGGCGAGAAGUAUGCGGAAUGCGUGGUGUAGCGGUGAAAUGCAUAGAUAUCACGCAGAACUCCGAUUGCGAAGGCAGCAUACCGGCGCCCAACUGACGCUGAAGCACGAAAGCGUGGGUAUCGAACAGGAUUAGAUACCCUUGUAGUC